rnacentral:rRNA from 1 species
GAUGAACGCUGGCGGCGUGCCUAAUACAUGCAAGUCGAGCGAACGGACGAGAAGCUUGCUUCUCUGAUGUUAGCGGCGGACGGGUGAGUAACACGUGGAUAACCUACCUAUAAGACUGGGAUAACUUCGGGAAACCGGAGCUAAUACCGGAUGAUAUUUUGAACCGCAUGGUUCAAAAGUGAAAGACGGUCUUGCUGUCACUUAUAGAUGGAUCCGCGCUGCAUUAGCUAGUUGGUAAGGUAACGGCUUACCAAGGCAACGAUGCAUAGUCGACCUGAGAGGGUGAUCGGCCACUCUGGAACUGAGACACGGUCCAGACUCCUACGGGAGGCAGCAGUAGGGAAUCUUCCGCAAUGGGCGAAAGCCUGACGGAGCAACGCCGCGUGAGUGAUGAAGGUCUUCGGAUCGUAAAACUCUGUUAUUAGGGAAGAACAUAUGUGUAAGUAACUGUGCACAUCUUGACGGUACCUAAUCAGAAAGCCACGGCUAACUACGUG